GUGGGUGUAGCUCAGCUGGCAGAGCACCAGGUUGUGGCCCUGGGUGUCGUGGGUUCAAGCCCCAUCACUCACCCCA
rnacentral:tRNA from 1 species